rnacentral:rRNA from 1 species
UACGUAGGGGCCUAGCGUUGUCCGGAUUUACUGGGCGUAAAGCGCGCGCAGGCGGCCCUGUGCGCUGCCGGUGAAAGCUCCCGGCUUACCUGGGAGAGGUUCGGCAGGACGGCAGGGCUGGAGGGUGGGAGAGGUCGGUGGAAUUCCCGGUGUAGUGGUGAAAUGCGUAGAGAUCGGGAGGAACACCCGUAGCGAAGGCGGCCGACUGGACCACACCUGACGCUGAGGCGCGAAGGCCAGGGGAGCGAACGGG